rnacentral:rRNA from 1 species
UACAGAGGGUGCAAGCGUUAAUCGGAUUUACUGGGCGUAAAGCGUGUGUAGGUGGCCGCGUAAGUCGGUUGUGAAAUCCCUGGGCUCAACCUGGGAAUUGCAGCCGAUACUGCGAGGCUAGAGUUCGGUAGAGGACGACGGAAUUCCCGGUGUAGCGGUGAAAUGCGUAGAUAUCGGGAGGAACAUCGAUGGCGAAGGCAAUCGUCUGGGCCUGAACUGACACUGAGACGCGAAAGCGUGGGUAGCAAACAGG